UGGACCUGCUGUUCGACUCUGUGGUGGUGGAUCCUCUCCCAUAUCAGGAGUACUCGGACAAAAUUCCGGUUCCAGAACCGCUCUGUGCCCAGUUCCAAAGACCAGAUAAACGGGAUGCUGUGAGCAGGCACAGGUCCAGGUUUUAAAGUGCACGUAAGCCAGGCUGCACACCACUGUACGACAGAGGAGUUACGUGUCGUCAUUAUGGAUCUUUAUGCUCAUCCACUCGUGACUCAUGCUGUCCACCUCCCAGAUGUCUAUUGAUCUCUACAACCUUUCUGCUCUGUGGCUCCCAUACAACUUGAAAAUCUUGGCCAGCCUCCUGAUAUUGUUACAGAAAAGCCUGUGCUCCCGGGAUCCAUCUGCACGUUUGUCAUCACAGUGAAAGCUACCUCCAGUCUAAGGAACCUAUGAAACAUCACUGAUGGCCCAACCUCUCCUCACAUGGCUCCAGAAUCUCUGCUUGUGGUUUAGUUUUGUCAAAAAUCAUGAAAGUUAUGAUCAGAUUGUAAUCUAACGUUGUCUUAGUAGUAGCUAUAAUAAAUGUUAUCUUUGCAGCGCAA